UAGCAUAUCAAUAAGCGGAGGAAAAGAAACCAACAGGGAUUGCCCUAGUAACGGCGAGUGAAGCGGCAACAGCUCAAAUUUGAAAUCUGGCUCUCGGGCCCGAGUUGUAAUUUGUAGAGGAUACUUUUGAUGCGGUGCCUUCCGAGUUCCCUGGAACGGGACGCCAUAGAGGGUGAGAGCCCCGUCUGGUUGGAUGCCAAAUCUCUGUAAAGUUCCUUCAACGAGUCGAGUAGUUUGGGAAUGCUGCUCUAAAUGGGAGGUAUAUGUCUUCUAAAGCUAAAUACCGGCCAGAGACCGAUAGCGCACAAGUAGAGUGAUCGAAAGAUGAAAAGCACUUUGAAAAGAGAGUUAAAAAGUACGUGAAAUUGUUGAAAGGGAAGCGUUUAUGACCAGACUUGGGCUUGGUUAAUCAUCUGGGGUUCUCCCCAGUGCACUUUUCCAGUCCAGGCCAGCAUCAGUUUUCCCCGGGGGAUAAAGGCGGCGGGAAUGUGGCUCUCUUCGGGGAGUGUUAUAGCCCGUCGUGUAAUACCCUGGGGGGGACUGAGGUUCGCGCAUCUGCAAGGAUGCUGGCGUAAUGGUCAUCAACGACCCGUCUUGAAACACGGACCAAGGAGUCGUCUUCGUAUGCGAGUGUUCGGGUGUCAAACCCCUACGCGUAAUGAAAGUGAACGCAGGUGAGAGCUUCGGCGCAUCAUCGACCGAUCCUGAUGUUCUCGGAUGGAUUUGAGUAAGAGCAUACGGGGCCGGACCCGAAAGAAGGUGAACUAUGCCUGUAUAGGGUGAAGCCAGAGGAAACUCUGGUGGAGGCUCGCAGCGGUUCUGACGUGCAAAUCGAUCGUCAAAUAUGG
rnacentral:rRNA from 1 species